AUGGAAGACCUGUGGAUAUCCCAAAACCCCAAAACAUCCACCUGCUCUGCUGUGCUGGCCAGGAAUUAUAGGACAGCUUGGAUUGGAAAGGACCUUAAAGAUAUUCCAGUUCCAAUUCCCUGCAUCCCAGAAGUUGGAGCAAACGGAUUGGAAUCGGAGGAAGGAAGGAAAGAUUGGAGUUCUCCAAAUAGGAUUGGCCUCCUGUCCUCCCUGCUGGCCCCUGCCAUUCCAGCCCCUCCCGUGCCAUCCCGGCGUGUGCUGCGGAAUCCAGCCUGCUCCUGCUACAAAGGAAAUAUCUAAAGCCAGCCAGAGCAUGUCCAAUAGGAUUUGUGGUUCUUCCAACCUCCCCAUGUUAUUGACUCCCCCUUUCAAGUGUGGCCAGGGCUUUAUCUGCUGGUAAUAGGGAGAAUUAAUCAUUUCCUUUAAAAGAAAAAAAAAAAAAAAAAAUCGGCUUAAAAACCCCUCCACCUUUUUAUUUAUUUUUUUACAUAAAAAGGCAAGUAAAAGACAUAACAAAGUUGUUAAAAGUUCAAAGGGAAUGCUAAUCCCUGUAAUGUGGACUAAUCAACUUUUAUCCAGACAAUCCCCUUGUAUCUCUGGGGCCUUAUGUGGUGCAGCAAUCCCACAGGCAAGUGCUGGGCUUUAACUCCUUUGGAGCUGCUUUCAAGAUUCCUGUCCCUCUUCCCGGAGCUGUGCUGCCGUGCUAUCAUUCAGGAACAGCCUGGCACCUUCCUGGACUCAGAACAGCUUCAAAGGUGCUGCAACUUCCCUGGCGAAGCUUUCAAAGAGCUGUGGAAACAAAAAAGUUCUUUUCCCUUGGAGGGCUGAACCAUCCCAGGGUGAAUAAAUGAGCGGGGCUGCUCCA
rnacentral:lncRNA from 1 species